AUUGAACGCUGGCGGCAGGCCUAACACAUGCAAGUCGAACGAGUGGCGGACGGGUGAGUAAUGUCUGGGAAACUGCCUUAUGGAGGGGGAUAACUACUGGAAACGGUAGCUAAUACCGCAUACCAUCGGAUGUGCCCAGAUGGGAUGAGCUAGUAGGUGGGGGAACGGCUCACCUAGGCGACGAUCCCUAGCUGGUCUGAGAGGAUGACCGGCAACACGGGAACGGAGACACGGUCCAGACUCCUACGGGAGGCAGCAGUGGGGAAUAUUGCCAAAUGGGCGCAAGCCUGAUGCAGACAGGCCGCGUGUAUGAAGAAGGCCUUGGGGUUGUAAAGUACUUUCAGCGGGGAGGCGUUACCCGCAGAAGAAGCACCGGCUAACUCCGUGCCAGCAGCCGCGGUAAUUC
rnacentral:rRNA from 1 species